rnacentral:rRNA from 1 species
UACGGGAGGCAGCAGUGGGGAAUAUUGCACAAUGGGCGAAAGCCUGAUGCAGCUAUGCCGCGUGUAUGAAGAAGGCCUUAGGGUUGUAAAGUACUUUUCAUCGGGGAGGAAAAACAAAACUAAUAAUUUUAUUUCUUGACGUUACCCGAAAAAGAAGCACCGGCUAACUCCGUGCCAGCAGCCGCGGUAAUACGGAGGGUGCUAGCGUUAAUCAGAAUUACUGGGCGUAAAGAGCACGUAGGUGGUUUUUUUAAAGUCAGAUGUGAAAUCCCUGGGCUUAACCUAGGAACUGCAUUUUGAAACUGAAAUACUAGAGUAUCGUAGAGGGAGGUAGAAUUCUAGGUGUAGCGGUGAAAUGCGUAGAUAUCUGGAGGAAUACCUGUGGCGAAAGCGGCCUCCUAAACGAAUACUGACACUGAGGGUGCGAAAGCGUGGGGAGCGAAACAGGGAUUAGAUACC